AAAAAAGGGCCUACAAGACAGCGCAAAUGUGGCUUUUGUAAGUCAAAUAGAGACAAGGAAUGUGGACAGAAGGCUCCAUAGAAAACGAGAGUUGAAAUGUGUUCCACCAGGAGAGUGAUGCUAUGGAAGUCAAAGACAAACAAUUUCAAGGAGGAAGAAGUGGUCAAAAAAUAUUAAAUAAGUAUUGUGAAUGUAUUCAUAUAAAUGUGAUUUUUUUUAAAAGCUCCAGUUAUGGCAUGCAGAUUAAUUUUAAUGUAUGCAGAUAUUUUACCAGUCAUUUAUAUUAAAAUGAACUUUACUUUUGAGGUGAUAAAGGAGAAUGAAUGUAAGGUCAAAGAGAAACUUGGAAGUGUAAUGAUGGAGGAAAUUGGGUCUUUGGCUAUUACUGAAUACAUUUUUUUAAUGCAUAAUUUUUUUAUUUGCCUCCAUUUAAUACUUUUUGGUAACUGGGAAUACUGUCAAUUAAUUUCAUUAUAAAAUCCUCAUUUAUUUUUGCUAAUGGAGGAGAUCCAAAACCAAUAAUAUAAACAAAAUGUAUUCUUGGUGUUGGGGGCUGUCUUGGUACUUAUUUGAGCAUAGGUGUGGAUGAGGUGUUCUUCACAGACUAAAUAUAGCAAGCGGCAUAGCAGUUUAGAGUACCCUCAGCUGGAAAAACCCAUACACGAGAAAAGCUUGGACAUAAAAAUCUGAGCUCAGAAAAUGUCUGUCUGAAUCUUUCAGAUAC
rnacentral:lncRNA from 1 species